UACGUAGGGGGCGAGCGUUGUCCGGAAUUAUUGGGCGUAAAGAGCGUGUAGGCGGUUCGGUAAGUCUGCCGUGAAAACCUGAGGCUCAACCUCGGGCGUGCGGUGGAUACUGCCGGGCUAGAGGACGGUAGAGGCGAGUGGAAUUCCCGGUGUAGCGGUGAAAUGCGCAGAUAUCAGGAGGAACACCGGUGGCGAAGGCGGGAUCCUGGGCCAGUACUGACGCUGAGGAGCGAAAGUGUGGGGAGUGAACAGG
rnacentral:rRNA from 1 species